GGAAGAGUUUGGUGAUUUCUGUAAAGGGCUGACAGAGGACAGCUGCAGAGUGGAGGUUGAUGGUUUCCCAUAGGCUUCAUGGCAGCGGUGUCUCUUGAAGAAGGAUUUGAAGGAGGACAAAGUAAUGACUUUAUAAACAGAUUCAUAUCCAGAGAAGAGUGGUGAUGUGGGU